GUAUAAAUAUCAAUUUUACCCCAUGCUUUAUUUUUCAAACCCCAUGCCUAAGUUGCUACCCAGAGACCAGCUGCAUUCAUUCCCUUUGUGACAGCAGUGGUUUGCAGCUCCUUUCACCUGCCUGAGACACAGCUGCACCAGUGUCAUCAGAAACCCCAUCCCCAAGAGGAUAGGACUGUGUCACCUCGCUGAAGACAGGAGACAGAAAAGGCAGCACCCUGUGCAGGUCAUGGUUCUGUGCUGACUCACUGGGCCAUGGGUGUUAGAGGCACGUUGCACCAUACCCUGUACCUGAGCUAUGAGGGCGCUGGGAUCACACUGGCACUGGAGUGGACAGGCAGUGAAGCAGAACCAUCCUCCAGCACAGACAGCUUCACUGCACCUGUGGAAGCCUGGAUAGAGCAGAAGUCUGGCUGAAAAGAGCUCUUCCUUUCCCUCUGGUUGAUGGUCUUCAAGCUGGGAUGCUGGCCCAUCUCAACCCUGAUUUAAAGACUGAGAACAAAGCAUAAAUCAUCCUGGAUCCCAGGCCUUGGGCCUUUGACGUCAGCUUUGUGUCAGUGCAGUUCCUGAGGCAGUUAGUCUGUAAAGAAAAUGGCUUCAUUCAGCUUAUGGCCCUGGAGGGAGCAGUCGCAGGACUGGCAACACCAUUGCUUUGGGUCCUGGUGAGGGACCAGGAAUGGGAAAGAAGCCUACUGAGACUCUGGUCACAUGGACAGGAUGGAAACUGAGGCCACCCUGUCCUGGAUCGCAGCAGCAUCUUCAUCACUCACCAAAACCCCUUCCGGACCUGGUCCCGAGCGUGGAGUUCCAGGUGCGCAGCUGUUACUUCCCUCCUGAUCUAGUCAUGUCACAUACCAUUUUAUCAGAGGCAGAGCUGACAGCUUGGACAAGCUGUUUUACUUCCUGACUAGAGCUUCUCUGAGAAUGAAACACAUUUUUGUGGUCCUGUGUUUGCAGCGUGUGUUAGGAAGUUCAUGCUGCCAUUGUUAUACAUAAUCAACUAGAUGGUGAGAACAACAGGGACCUAACUCUCUGUUCUGGAGCCUGAGGCCAGAUGAUCCUGCUCCUAGCAUGAUCUCUUCCGGCUGUCCCUGUGACUCACAGGGCAGAAUAGGAUCCCAAUGCCAUCUCUCCUCUCCUUGGAAGAGUACAUGUCCCACUCAGAGGCCAUCCUCGUGAAAACAGCCCAGUCUGAUUAACCCUCGAAAGUACCUUUCCUGACAUCUUAAUAGACAGGGGGACACAGCCUGGCAUCGCCACUCCAAGGCAGAAUACAGCCAAGCACAUGCAGGGCUUGAGGCCUCAGAAGACCCGCCACCCAGGAGGCUGGGAGUCCAGCAGGAUCAGCACCUGGAGCUUUCUGCACGUGAUAUGCGUGGGCAGGAGGAGACAUUAUCCUGAAUUGUCCCUGUGCAAGUAAGCUGUAUCUGUCUACUUCGGGCACCACGGCAUGGGCAGGACCUGUGGACAACAGCAUUGUACCAUGAAUCAAUCACAUGCUGUAGAUCCAGCUCUGAAUAAGCCCCAGCUAAGACCACAAGAGGCUUUGGGUGACAUCUUUGUGCAAGAUAUAAGACCUUCACAAAAUGAAAUAUCUUCAGAUGAUUUCUCUAGAAAAUACGAGUUAAGAACUUACAAUUUAUACUCAUAAUCUGUAUGGAAUUAGUCCAAGUCUGCUCAGUAUCAAGUAAUAGACCUUAUCAGGAUAUAAAAAAGAGAAGUCAAUGCAAUUAGGGAUGAAAAAAUGAAAUCACAAUAAACAUCACUGAAAUCAAUAAAAUUAAUAGCAAGUAUUUCACAAACCUAAAUGCUGAAAAACUGGAGAACUUGGAAGAAAUGGAGAGAUUACUAGAUACAUAUGAAUUGCCAAGAAUGAAUGAAGAGAAUUCAAAAAUCUUGAAUAGCUCAAUAGCAAGCAAUGAAAUUGAAGUAGUAAUAAAAAACUCAUCAACUGAGAAAAGCCUAGCACCUUUCAGAUUCACAGAUGAAUUCUAUUAGAAUUUCAGGGAAGAUCUAACAACAUUAUCCCUCAAAUUGUUGAAUGAAAUCAAGAGGAAAGUAAUACUCUCCAAAUCAUUCUUGUAGGUUAACAUUGUAUUGAUCUUGAAACCAGACAAGGAUUAGACUACAGAAGAGAACUAAUACCAGUCUUUCUAAGCUAUCCUAUGCAAGGAAAGCAAAGUAGAGGCGUCUCAAUCCCAGAUUUGAAGCUAUACUACAAAGUUAAAUGAUUAAAACAGCACGCUACUAUCACAAACACAGACAUGUAGAUCAGUGGAACAGAACAGAGGAAGCAGAAAUGACAUACACUGGAGGAAAGAUAGCCUCUCUAAACUGGUGCCAAGAAAAUUGCACAUCCACAUGCAGAAGAUUGAGCCUAGACCCAUACAGGUCAUCAUGCAUUAAACUAAAAUCAAGAUGCAUCAAAAACCUAACUGUUGGCCAGAGACACAUCUCAGCAGUACAACUGCCUGUCUGGUAAGCACAAAGUCCUGAGUUUGAUUCCUGGUACACACACACACACAAAAAAAAAAAAAAAAAAAAAAAAAAUUCCAACAUUUAAAACAGAAACUUGUCACCUGCUGGAAGAUAAAAUCUGUAAAACUCUUAUAAACACAAGUGUAAGCAACAAUUUUCUGAACAGAACCCCAGUGGCAAGAACCAACAAAUAUGACCAUAUCAAACUAAAAAGCUUCUAAACAUCAAAGAAAACCAAUAAAAUGAAGAGGAAACCUACAAAAUUGGGGGAAAUUUUGCCAGCUCUUCUUCAGAUAGAGGACUAACAUUUAGGAAAACAAUUAGACUUCCCAAACAAAAGACUCAGUCAAAAAAAAAAUGGGCAGUGAAGAUGAAUAAACACUGCUCACAGGAUAAAGGGUCAAUAAAUAUAUGAAAAACUGUGCAGCAUCGCUGGCUGUCAGAGAAACGCAGACUAAAACCACAUUGAUAGACCACCUUAACCAGAGAAAAUGACUGUCAUCAAAUGAAAACCAAAUAAUGAUGAACACUGAUGAGGCUGUGAGGAGUAAGGAACUCUUCUGCAUCAUUUGUAGGGGUGCAGACUGGUGAACACAUGAUGGAAAUCAGCAUGAGGAUUCCUCAAAGAACUAUAACCUGGCUGUUAUCACUCCAGAAGAGCUCAAGUCAUCGUACUAUAAGGUGGCACAUCUACCCAUAUCUACAGCAGCACAAUGCACUACACCUACAUCUUGGAAGUGGCUUACAGUGUCCACCUACAGGAGAAUGGAGAAGACCAAGGAAAGUGCAGUGCUGAGUUUACACACAGCAGAGCCCUGCCCUUCCGUAAAGGUAAACUUGGGGCAUUCACAGACAAAUGGAAGCAGUCUGAGAACACAGGUUAAGUGAAAUAAGUCAACACCCAAACUUCAACAUCACAAAUUUUCUCUUACAUGAAAAACUCAAGAUACACACAUACACAGAAGGGGGAGUGCAAGCGCAAAACAGAAGUUAGAUAAACAGGAAGUAGUGAGAAGGACAGUGAUGCCUCAAAUUACCUAUGUUCCAUUGUUCCAAAACAUUUUAACAUGUAUGUUAAUGGGCUUCAUUUAUAUUACCAACUUCUCUCAGUUCAUUGAAGAGAAAGUUAUGUGCUUUCAUCUUAUGGCUUCUUUUAAGUCUUUUCUUUAUUGACUUGUACUCAGAGUAAUAGUUUGGUGAUUCUUUUAAGAUUAUGAUACAGUGGCCAGGUGUGGUGCACAUGUCUAUAAUCCCAGCACUGGGGAGGCUGAGGCAGGGUUAGGGUUUGGGUUCAGGUAGGCGUUAGGGUUAGACACUAUUCUGAGCCACUUAGAGUUCAAAUCCAACGUGGACUACAUAACAAGACCCUGUCUAAAAAAAACAAAAAGAUUAUGAUAGUGUGUUAACUACUCUCAGUCUCUAAUAAUUUUCUCAUGAAACUUUUUUUUAACUUUUUCAUGGAAGGUACUGUUUUUUAUCAAUAUCUUUUGCAUUAUACUAAAAUAAAAAGGGUGUAAUUUCUGAAUUUAUGAAAUAGAAAUGUCUUGUCUAACAUAUGGAUUUACAUUAGCAUAGAACGUAUUAACUGAGACUUUGUAGAAAACUGGAGAUAUAAGGUUUUUUAAAGCUGAUAUGUUAGAAACUCAUCACUGUGAUAAAUACUUGAGAUGAUCAAUUUGCAGAGAAGGGAACUGGGUGUAGCAGCUCACUUCUAGUACUAGGGCAACUGAUACAGGGCGAUCUCAGGUUUGAGCCCAGCCAGGCCAAUUUAGUGACUUAGCAAGAGUGAAAGUGGGCCUGUGGGAUGGGGGCAUAGCUCAGGGUUAAGACCCUGGCCCCUCCCUACGCACCACAUGAAGAAAGGAGAAGAGGUUCCUCUGGGCUCAUGCUUUUGAGGUGCACUACAUCUGACUCAUUGCUCUUAGGACCCUGGGGCAGGAAGGGCAGCACGGCACCCCCUACAACAGGGAGCAGAGCAGAGAAGGACCAGCCAUGGCCCUGCCUCACCCUCCAGGUGCCCCGAGACCUGGCGAGGAUCUUCACCUCCUUAAGUUUCAGGAUCUCCCAGCUGACCACUCAACCUGCAAGCCUUCCGCACCCAGCCCUGGAAAACAUUUAAAAUCCAGACUGCAGCAUCACAUUUAAAGAGAAAAAAUAACAAUAACAAAAUAGUUUCAAAACAGGUUCCUGGGAGAGUUUUGAUAAAUUGCUCUCUUCCUAGGAGGUAUUCAGAGUAGAGGAUACAAGCAUGAUAUUUUGUCUAGACAAUAUUAACACAAACCUUUCUCUUCAAUGAACUAAGAGAAACUAUCUGUAUAACUAUCUUGUGUGUGUAUAUGUAUGUAAUAUAUAUAUAUAUAUAUAUAUAUAUAUAUAUAUAUGACCUAGUGUGACAUCCAUUUACAUAUAAAAGUCUCAAGUUUAUACUUUUUUAUGGAUCAGCAUUACUCCAAACCAAAACAUAAUUUUUUAUCUAUUCCUCAGUUGAUGGGCAGUUGGGUUAUUUCCAAGAUCAGGCUAUUACAAAUUGUGCUGCUAUGAACAUGGAUGCACAUAUAGUGUUGUGGUGUGAUGUUUUUAAUUCUUCUGUUAAGAUACCCAGAAAGAGAAUAGCUGGGUUGAAUGUGAUCUCCAAUCCUAGUUUUCUGAGUACUCUCCACAGUGGUUAUACCAGUCUACAAUGUCACCAACAGCGGAGAAAGGCUCUUUUACCCCACGGUAUCUCUAACAUUUGUUAUUGGCUGAUUUCUUGAUGAAAGCCAUUCUUUCUGGAGUAAGAUGGAAUCUCAGUGUUGUUUUAAUUUGCAUUUCUCUAAUGAUCAAUAGUGUUCAACAUUUUUUCAUAUAUUCACUUGAUAUUUGUAUUUCUUCAUCUGAGAAGCAUGAAUCCAUCUAAGACGCUCAGCUUUGGACUGGUUCUUUGAAUCUGAGGUAUCUGAUUUUUUUUUUCAGUUCUUUAUAACUUCUAGAUAUAAAGUCCUUUGCCUGAGGGACAACUGGCUAUAAUCUUCUCCCAUUCUGUGGGUUGUCUUUUCAUCCUGCUGAUGAUUACUUUUGUUGUACAAAAGCUUUUUAAUAAGGUGAGAUCCCACUUGUACAUUGUUUGUAGUAUUUUCCUUGUAGUCAGACUCUUGUUCAUGUCCUCUGCCUACACCUAUGUCUUCAAGAUUAUGUUGUAUAUUUUAUAAGAAUUUAAAAAUGCUUGGGACUUUUCUAACUUUUUUAUGCUUGAAUUUCAUGAAAAUUUUUUGUAUACAUUCUUGUUAUUGUGGGUGUGCAGUCCUAAUAGAAUAAGGGAGCAAUCAGUCUUGCUCAAGGAUAGGACCCAGGAAAAGGCUGGGCGGAGAGGCCAAACCUGUGCAGGCUGGGCAGAUGAUUGACUGUUUCAGUCUGUGCAGGGCCAAGCAGGGAGGCUGUCGAGGGGCUGAGAAGUAGAAUGUCAGGUGAAGACGGCCACCCAGUCAAACUGCCUGGCCACUCCCUGAACAUGAAGUUAUUCCACGACAACAGGAUUGGGAGGAAUACUUCAUCAUCACUGGAAAUAGAUGGGUUUAAAAACCCCUGGAAAGUCACCCAGGAACAGCCAGGAGCACACUCAGUAAGACACAGCAUGUUUAGCCCCAUGAGAGAUGAUCCUGAUUACAAUGAGAGCACAGCCAGAUAAUAAUUCCAUGCAUUUACAUUUUUGUGGUCCCCAAAAAAUUCUCCCUCUGGCAGGAGAUCUUUUCCCUUGUAAAUUCGAGCUGAGCACAGCAUAUCCCUCUGCACUCUCUUUUCCUCCCAGGUGGUGGUUCAACACUGCUUUCUUGUCAUCAGCAUCACCUUCAACAAAACAUUUUCUUCUCUUGUCCAGUUACACACCACAUAAAGAUGCCUGUCCUUGGUGUUUCUUAGUUCAACACCAUGCGUGACACGAUUGGCUGUAAAUCAUGGACGUUGUCCAUAGAUUUGGGAGACUUACAGUUGAUAUUUGCUCUGCUCUGCUUCUUCUUAUGUCAGGUGUCCAGUGGGGACAGCUGAGGAGCUCCUCCUCCUGAGACCCUGCCCAUCCGCCUGGGUUUACAGCACCAUUUUCUCCAGGAAUUUUAGUCUUCUCUUGGCUUAGCAUUGAAUGAGAAGAGAUUGUCAUAAACUUGUGCAGCUGUCCUCAGGCAGCCUGGAAGGACAGGUCCUCCCUUUCUGGAAAGCAUGGUGGCCCAGGCUCCUGGAGACCCAGUGCUGCACACAGCCAGCUGUGCUGUGCCAGCGACCCAGGCCAGUGCAGCAGGACAAGAGCAACCUUGGGUGGGUGGAAGGACAGUGCUCUCCUGCCUGGUGUGGAGACUCGUGGGGUGACUCCAGGCUCCAAGCUCUGCCUCUGUGUGUGCUGCAUCAUGUCCUCUGCAGCACUGCCAUGGGUGCCAACUUGGAAGAAAAAAUAAACAAAGAAUGCGUCAUGUUGUGCCUCUACACAUGUUUUGUUUUGGUGCAUACUAUCCCAGCCUCCUGGGAGGUCCCUGGCUUCUCAUUCGGACCCCACUUGCCUUGGUCUUUGGUCUCCUUUUCAGGGAAUCUAAAUGCUUGGCUCACAGCACACACUUGUAAAUUUCCGUGGGAACCAGGACUCACCUUGAAAUAUAAGACAACAUUCCUGCCAGAGCGCUGGACCCCUCGGGGCUGCAAUGGUCACUGUGCUGGCCUCACCAUCAGGCUGCAGUGGGUGAAUUUCGGGACUCCCUGGGGUUCACUGAAAAUGUGAGCAUCUGGAAGAGGAAAGGCCCUCUCCACAGUGUCUGCCACCUUGUUUACUUCCUCUUUGAUUUGUGUGCUUCUGUGUUACUUUCUCUAAGGCAAGAGAGAGGUCAUCCCAAUUCAGACUCCAGAAAGUGUAUUUUGCGUAUCCUAAAAUCUAAACUCUAAGUUUUUUUUUUAAAUCUAAGAUAAAAAACAUUUAUUAGAGGCAAUAAUAUGUCAACAACCCCAGAUAACCUCAAUUGUAAGUGCUUUUAUACUUUAUUAAUGAAUUCCAAACUCAUCAAGAAUCAAUGACUUAACUAAUUUCUCUUAAUGCCAGUUGCUACCUUGGGAAUAUUAGUGUUAUUGAUUUCAGAGAGAAUAUCCAAGACCACUGGGUGAGGGGUUGAGGGCCAUCCCAGGAUGCUCUGCUGCCCCACAGGCAGGUGGCGGCUCCACAGCCUGCUAAUCAGCAGAGUGCAGCAGUCAGAAAGCAGAGGUGCUGUAAAUGGGAGCUACAUGCCAGAUUCCAGAGGCUGACUAUGGAAAGUAGAAUGUAAAUUAUCUCAUCAACAGUUUCUACAUAAAUUAUGUGUUGAUAUGAUAGAUUUUGGCUAUUUUGAGCUUACAGAAAUGUACUAUUAAAUUAAUUUCACUUGUUCUAUACUAAUAUGAUUACAUGAAAAUAACAAAUUACAUACUUGGUGUGCAUUAUGUUUCUGCUAGGAAGCGCUGAGAAAGACAUUUCAGGGGUGCCAUGGCAAGAUUAGAACCUGCAUUCUCUGUGCUGUGUUACCAUGACUAACACAGGUUCUAAAUACCCUGGUCCCCAGCAUAAAACAGAUGCUCAAUGAAUGCUCAGCAAAUAAACAGUUCCUCAGCUAUCCAGCACAUUUUCCCCAAGGAAAUAAAAUUAUUCCAUGAGUACAGAGGAGCAACCUGAAUGCUUGAAGCUCACGUGAAUGAGGCCAAGUGGGAAGAAAAGAAAUUAUGUUUAGAAUAAGAAUUAUUGGUUUGAAGUUGCAACAUCAAAGCAAAAAAUAUAUGUAUAAGGUGUAAUGUAUAUUAUAAUAUAUAAAUAGUUUAUAAGGAAGGCAGCAACAUAAUUAAAGAUCAACAUAACUUAUUAAAUUUGGAGCAUUUAUGAUGAUAGCAAUUUAUCCAAGGUCAUAAUUUAAAUAAGUUAAGCAAAAUAUGGUUUACAUGUUGAUGAAUCGUUUGCAUCAUAUGGAAAGGAAAACAGGUUAAAGAUGACAUAAUGAUGAUUAGUGAUAUCAUAAAAAACAGCUAUGGAUAUUAGCUAGGCAAAGCUUUGUUGGAACUCUUAACUAGACUAAGAUACCCAUGAGUCUUACCAGAUAGGGGAAACACUUUGAAAGUGGUAUUUGUCAAGUAGGAAGAAUUCUAAAUGCUGGAAAACAAAUUAAGCAAUUUGGAAAAUCUGCAAAAAUCUAGUAAGGGAGGAAUUUCUGAUAAGUCUUCAUUGUGAAAUAUGUAAUACUUAAUAUAUGCCAGGCACAGCCCCACCCAACUUAUAUAAAUUAACAAAGUCCACCCAAGAGCUCCUGGAUGUAAGGGCAGUUGGUUUGUCUAUCUUACAUAUAACAAAAGGGAAACUAGAGACCAACACAUAUUCCUGUGGUUACUUAGCUGGCAAGUGGCACAGCCCAAACUGAAACUUAGUCCAUCCUACUUAAUCACUCCACAGUGAGUAUUUGAGAAGCUGUCAUGUAAUUUACAUAAUUUACCCAUUAAUUUUAUGUAAUCCUGAAACUUGUAUGAUUGUUACCAAGGUAAUCAGUUAGAUCAGAGCUCAGAGAGGUUAUCUUGCUAAUCUAAAAUGACACCAAGACUUGAAUCCAGAUCCCUCUGACCCCAACUUCCUUCCAUGACUCUGUUUAAUGUGCUAAACUAAACAGUGUCUGCGAGUGACUCUGAACAAACCUCUCAUCAGCAAAUGCCUCCACCAGCCUGGUGAAUUAGGUGAAUUAUUUAGAUGAUUUGAAGCACUUUCUCUUAAAGAUCUUUUGCUUUUUUAUGAUCGUUAAGCACUAUUUACCUUAGUGAAACCGGGAUUUUUCCUUACAUUUUUACGUCCUGUGAAGUGUCACAGAGAUGUGUUACUAUUCUUACUUUUUGUAUUUAAUGUUCUUAUUCCAAGACUUGCCACAUCUGCUGAAGCAUAGAAUAAUUUAUACAAAGCUGUGGACCUAGAGGAGUCAGCACCUUGGAGAGCUCCACGGGAUUAAGGCCAUGUCUCUCACAAAGGGUUGCUGGAUUAGGCAGGCUAUCUUUGCAAACUGCAGAAGCUCUCCUCCCAAACAAAAGAAAUUUGCUAUUCUCCUUACAGCCUGAACCAAAAUACAUAAAAACACCUGAAGAUCAAUGAACAAUUAUAUAGAGAGACACAUAGCCACCUCAUGUUCUUUUCUUAAGAAAUCAAGAGAGGCAAGUGAAGGUCAGUUAGUGCUAACUGUGCUGGAGAAUUAAAAUGCAGGAAGUUAGAAAUGGGAAGUUAUGUUUCCCCUAGUAACUGUAACUUGGCACAAUCUGUAGAAGGCAUAAAUAUAACAGCAAACACAGUACAUAAAAUAAUAUCAUGUAUGCAAGGAGCGAGUAAUGAUGGCUAGGAGGUUCAUAAUUUUGACUUUCCUGACUUUUAUGAGUUUAAAUUCUCAGACACAACAUUGCAUUAAUACAUGUCAUCUUCUUAGCCAAUCUUGAUUUUUGUCUCUCUCUGUGCAGUUUUCUGGAUCUUCUUAGCACUGUAUGGCUAAAACCUUUGAACUCUGACCUUCCAAAUUUGACUCUAGCCCAAGUCUUGAUUUUUAAGGGGAUUCAACUGAGAGGCAUGAGUAUUUUAUCUUGUACCUCAUUAAACAAGGAAAGAAAAGUAAAGGCAAACCUUUCAACUGAGCAUGGUUGCUAAACAGUGGGGGAAUGCAGAAUAAAUAAAACAAGUCACGCAUGGGGCCAGAAUGAAAGCUGCAACAAUCAUUUAAACCUGCUGGCUGAUGUUUUUAUUUAAUGCUGAGGGGUGUUUACAAUCCUGCAAUUGCCAGAGAAAGGUUUAUCCUGAUGAGUUAGACAAUAGCAGCAUGGGAGACUGUUUCACACUAGUUCUUUGCAAUGAACAUUUUAGGAGCCAUUCUGAGUCCAUGUCAGCAGGGCAACCAUCAAAUGAAACAGAAAGAAAGCAAGUGUCAGCCCCAGGAAUGAAUUCUGAUUUAGAGCAGAUACAGAGCCAUUUUCACUGCCCUCUGCUGCAGUGAUGGUCAGAUGGGAAACAGCGUUCAUCAUGGUAAAGUGCACACAUUCUCCAGCGCACACAUUCUCAACUCGCCACCCUAUUUGUGAGCUUUAGAGACAGUAAGAACCAAAACCUCCACUCCCUCACCUUCCAGGUUUCAUUUCACUCAUCUUCUCCCAGGAGCUCCAAACCAUAGUAGCAAUUCUCUGCCUGGAGAGAAUAACUUCGCCUCUGCAUCAAGCUAUUCAAUAUUCUAAGCAGCUCCAACAGGGCUCGAGCCCCUCCCUGAUUUCCUUCCCUGGAAAGCACUCAUAUUGAUCUCUCCAAGAUCUCAGAGCCAAAUGAAAGCAAAGGCCAUGGCAUUGGGGUGAAAUGCAGACUUGGGCCCUCCCCAUCAUCUUCCCCUCCUUUCCCAAACAGCUGUGCAGACAGAGUGAUGCUAGGGACUCUAUACUGGUUUCUCCCUUCUUCCUUCCCUGGGGCUGUGAACAGCACCCAUCUGUGUUCCUGCCUUUAGAACUUCAGGACCUGAGAUAAUUGGAGUCACUGUUUCAACUUUUCCUCUGAAAGAACCACUGCCAAGCCCACGGAUGAAAAACAAUUUUCCCUUUCUCAUGUUCAGGGUCACUCUGAUUUCUGGGAGUAAGUACCAUCUAAAUUUGUUUGGGUAGAGUUUUUCUGCCUAAUUAACAUCGUUCAUGAUUGUGGAUUCUCUUUUGUAAAAUUAAGAGUCUGGUUGUUUUUAAAAAUAGGGAAAAUAUGAGCAGGCAUGUUUAAUAUAACAUUUUACUCCUAAUGGUUAUUUACAUUGAAAGCAAAUGUGCUUUCUGAUUCAAUGAUAUUUUACAGUAUGAUAUACUUGCGAGGAUGUAGCACCACGGUAAUUGAGGAAACAGAAAGGAUUGUUUCCUUCCACCACCCUCCUCCUCCAAAGCAGGUUGAAAUAAUGAGACUGACACUCCAACCUUCUCCUGAAGCAGGUCGUAGGAGCCUCUUUCCAAAAAAUGUUUAAACUGAUUUAAACAUCACAUAAUAUAUAUGUGUGUGUACCAAAAUAUUGUA